UGAGGAAUAUUGGUCAAUGGACGCCAGUCUGAACCAGCCAAGUAGCGUGCAGGAUGACGGCCCUAUGGGUUGUAAACUGCUUUUAUAUGGGGAUAAAGUGGGGAACGUGUUCCCUUUUGCAGGUACCAUAUGAAUAAGGACCGGCUAAUUCCGUGCCAGCAGCCGCGGUAAUACGGAAGGUUCGGGCGUUAUCCGGAUUUAUUGGGUUUAAAGGGAGCGUAGGCCGUUUGGUAAGCGUGUUGUGAAAUGUAGGAGCUCAACUUCUAGAUUGCAGCGCGAACUGUCAGACUUGAGUGCGCACAACGUAGGCGGAAUUCAUGGUGUAGCGGUGAAAUGCUUAGAUAUCAUGAAGAACUCCGAUUGCGAAGGCAGCUUACGGGAGCGCAACUGACGCUGAAGCUCGAAGGUGCGGGUAUCGAACAGG
rnacentral:rRNA from 1 species